rnacentral:lncRNA from 1 species
CCCACACACUGCUGCUGAGAUGCUUUCUUCCAGAGCUCUGUUUGCCUACUCUGAGUGGGACUGAUAUCUAGGUGCUCUCUGAGAACUCAAUGUACCUUCUGCUCCCGACAACUUGCCUUUCCACCCCCACCAGAGGAGAUAGGGCCCGAGGCAAGUCAAGGGGGACAGAAAGCGCUUCCACAUCUCCAAGGUGCUGCAGACAAACCUCGAGUCUGUUCUCAGCCAAGCAACUGAGUGACACAAGAGUGAUGUCUGUGCAGAGUCCAUCAGGAGAUCUGGAAAGGCUUUCAAAGAAUGGAAACCAACCGUGGUCCCAGGGAGAGUCUCUGAUGAGCUGGUCUUUGGAGUCUACCAGUUCAAUGGAGAUUGGGUGAUGGCGAUGGCCCUAAUGAUACUAAAAAGUCCCCUUCAUCAUAUCCUUCAAAUCACUCCCACACCCACGCUCUGUCACUCCUGUUUCCCUGGGUCCCUGCACUUCACCUGGCAUCCGAUUAGGCCCUAAGAGAGCUCUUGCUGAGCCAACAGGUAGUACAGCAUUGACAACAGGUGUGUGCUCUUGUGUUCCCAAGGUCUCUCGGGCCUCUGUUGAUGUGCCUGUAUUGUACUCCCUGCAGACUCCUCAGGUGCUGCACAAAUACCAGGGCCCUUGCCUCCUAACCAUUCAGGGCUUUCAGCCUCAACCUUCCCCAGACCACAGACUCUUACGCCUCCUCCACAGUUUCAAGCUCCUAAGCCACUAAGAUAGGAAUGUGAGAAAGGAUACCACCUCCCUAGUCAAGCCCAAGCUUACCCUUCUGAGGUGUAAGCUCAGGCUGGAUGGGAAGAGAGCUGGAGACUCUAAACCCAACCCUGCUAUGGGCAGGAAACAUAGGGCUCACUACGGAGUACCUGUGGUGCUGCUUAAAUCUCCCCCACUCAUGCCAUUUGCUCACCUGAUCAAGGUAUCUACCUACACUUCACCUUUCCCCACUUCUACUCCCCAAACAAAAAUAUCUGCUUUUCUGACUUCAAAGAAAAGCAGA